AGUAGGAUAUGCUAAUUUAAGCAACUAGGCUCAUGACCUAGAAAUGAAGGCGAAACUCCUUCUCCUGCCU
rnacentral:tRNA from 1 species